UACGUAGGGUGCAAGCGUUGUCCGGAAUUAUUGGGCGUAAAGAGCUCGUAGGCGGUUUGUUGCGUCGGCUGUGAAAUCCCGAGGCUCAACCUCGGGUCUGCAGUCGAUACGAGCAAACUAGAGUGUUGCAGGGGAGACUGGAAUUCCUGGUGUAGCGGUGAAAUGCGCAGAUAUCAGGAGGAACACCGGUGGCGAAGGCGGGUCUCUGGGCCAGUACUGACGCUGGAGGAGCGAAAGCGUGGGGAGCGAACAGG
rnacentral:rRNA from 1 species